GUGCCAGCCGCCGCGGUAAUACGGAGGGUGCAAGCGUUAAUCGGAAUUACUGGGCGUAAAGCGCACGCAGGCGGUCUGUCAAGUCGGAUGUGAAAUCCCCGGGCUCAACCUGGGAACUGCAUUCGAAACUGGCAGGCUGGAGUCUUGUAGAGGGGGGUAGAAUUCCAGGUGUAGCGGUGAAAUGCGUAGAGAUCUGGAGGAAUACCGGUGGCGAAGGCGGCCCCCUGGACAAAGACUGACGCUCAGGUGCGAAAGCGUGGGGAGCAAACAGGAUUAGAUACCCUGGUAGUCCACGCCGUAAACGAUGUCGAUUUGGAGGUUGUGCCCUUGAGGCGUGGCUUCCGGAGCUAACGCGUUAAAUCGACCGCCUGGGGAGUACGGCCGCAAGGUUAAAACUCAAAUGAAUUGACGGGGGCCCGCACAAGCGGUGGAGCAUGUGGUUUAAUUCGAUGCAACGCGAAGAACCUUACCUAGGUCUUGACAUCCACAGAACUUUACCAGAGACGGAUUGGUGCCUUCGGGAACUGUGAGACAGGUG
rnacentral:rRNA from 1 species